GAUUUGUUUCCCAUCUCCUCAUCUUCCCUUUCCAAAAGCAGUCAGCCCUCUAGUGAUUUUUUUUUUGGCUAAUAUGUCUUUUCUCUGCUAUUUAGUGAUGCUGCUCACAUUCUGUGUUUCCGGAUAUAUUUGGGUCUAAUUCUGGAUUCUAUUGUUUCAUUGAUCUGCCUAUUUAAGCACUAGUAUCAAGUAGAUGUUAAUAACUACAUGGAAAGCUCCUAGUCUCUAAUUGGUAUUCCCAGUAGGUUUAAGAGGAUGUGGUAUCAAAAGAGAACUGUCUAAAGAGCUGGGUAGAUUGCUUUCAGAUGAAAAACAAAAUUACUAAAUUAUAGGCUAUGAUAGAGGCAGUGAACAAAGGGAGCUUUAUAGAAAAUACACUAAGUUUAUUUGAGACUUGCUAAAUAACUCUGAAGAAAAUAGGGGAUGGAGAUUGUGAAUGAAAAUAAUAUGAGGCUUGGAAGAUGCAUGGAUGCAUGGAUGAAUGGAUGGAUGGAUGGGAAAUGGAUGGAUGGAUGGAUGGAUGGAUGGAAGGGAGAUGGAUGGAUGGGUGGAUGGGUAGGAGAUGGAUGGAUGAAUGGAUGGGUGGAUAGGUGGAUGGGUGGAUGGAUGGAUAGACAGGAGAUGGAUGGAUGGAUGGGAGAUGGGUGGGAGAUAGAUGGAUGGGUGGAUGGGAGAUGGAUGGAUGGGUAGAUGGGAGAUGGAUGGAUGGAUGAAAAAUGGAUAGGAGAUGGAUGGAUGGAUGGCUGGCUGGAUGAAUGGAUGAGUGGAUGGGUGGAUGAUGGAGGAAGAUGGAUGGAAGAUGAAAGGAUGAAUGGGAGAUAGAGAGAUAGGUGAGAAGACAAUGGAAGGAAGAGUAGAAGGAUAAUGGGUGGUUGGGGAAUGCAUGUAUGGGAAGAUGGAUGAAUAGCAAGAGGGAAAUAUGGAUGGAUGGUACUAGAUAGAGGGCAUAAGAGUGUUCAGAAGAACCAAUAAUGGAAGAGAGAGACUAAGAAAGAAAGAAAAAGAUGAAGAAAGAAAGAAAGAAAG
rnacentral:lncRNA from 1 species